rnacentral:lncRNA from 1 species
AUUUUAACAAUGUGUAUCGAGUUUUAGUAAACAAAAAUACUCUUAUAUAUCAUGAAUUCUAAGUUUUAAGGUUAAGGGUAUUUUAAUAAUUUUCAUUCUCAAAACUAAAAAAAGAAAUCCCCAAACCUUAACUCACCUCUCUGAUCCCUCUCAACCCUUCCUCUUUGAUCUCUCACUCCAAACUUUUCUUUCAUUCUUAAAACAAUAAAAACCCAAACUCUUACUCAUCUUUCUCAUUCCUCUCAAUCCUUUUUCUUUCAUCUUUUUCACUCCAACAUUUUCUCUGUCAUCCCUACUGUAGCCCCAAUUGAAAAAAUCAGAAAUAUUUGCCUAACCAUACUCAACUUUCCCCACUUGUCUAAUUUGUU